GUCCACGCUGUAAACGAUGACGACUAGGUGUGGGGGGGUUCAGUCCCUUCCGUGCCGCAGCUAACGCAUUAAGUCGUCCGCCUGGGGGAGUACGGCCGCAAGGUUGAAACUCAAAAGGAAUUGACGGGGGCCCGCACAAGCGGUGGAGCAUGUGGUUCAAUUCGAUGCAGAGCGAAGAACCUUACCUGGGCUUGACAUGCAGGAAGUAGGAACCGGAAACGGGGACGACCUGUUAAGUCAGGAACCUGCACAGGUGGUGCAUGGCUGUCGU
rnacentral:rRNA from 1 species